AUUAGGGGUCCAAGCCAACAGGUUGGAUCCCUAUUGUUUUUGUAGUGUUUAUUAUUAUUAGGGGUCCAAGCCAACAGGUUGGAUCCCUAUUGUUUUUGUAAGGAUUUUUCCUAUUAUUAGGGGUCCAAGCCAACAGGUUGGAUCCCUAUUGUUUUUGUAAGGAUUUUUCCUAUUAUUAUACUUACCUCCCUGAAACUGUGCCCACAGCCCAAACCGUAAAUGGUGCCGACACGCCAAUUGCAUGACUUGAUCCAGGUCUCUUCGGACUAUGCAGACGACAAAAUCCAGACACGCCGGUCACUAGGUGGCGCUAUACCAAGGAAUACGCGUUUGGGGCUAUAACUCCCACACUGAACCUCCCACAGUCAAAAACUUGUACCCACAUAUUCACUGGAGUCUGCUGCAUCUUUUGGCAUAGGCCACGCCCAUUUGCGUCUAUAAUUUUUUUUCGCAAAAUCGCGAAAACCGCAAAACUGUUUUUUCCCUACUCCUCCCACAUUUCUUGACCAAUCGACACCAAACUUUGCACACGACAUCUUCAGACGCACACGCAAAGGAAUCGUGAGACAGUUUUUUGAUCCGACCUUCGACGACGAAACGUUAGCGUUUUGAAUAUUGGUUUAUGAGCUAAAUUAGACGUGGAAAAUCAAAAAUCCAAAGAAAUCCAAAAUUAGACAUCGGAACGAGUCCAAAUUUUACACACAUUUUGGUGCUAACCUAUCUGUCGUUCGAUAAAAAUUCCGGAA
ensembl:lncRNA